CCUGAAGAGGAGAGGUGCCCUGGAUGCCCAUGCCUGCCCUGUGGAAUCAAAUUUUGAUUUCCGCUUGCAGGUUACAAGAACCUGCUGCAGGUGUGGGGCACAGGUGUUCAGGACAGAAGUCUACAGCCACCUGUCCCUGGACAUAGUGCCCCAGGGCACACUCCAUGACAGCCUGAGACACUAUUUCAAGCCGACGCAGGUGGAGUGCCGUUGCGAAAGGUGUCCUGGGCAACAGGCCUCUCAGUAUGAAGCUCUUGUCCCUCCCUCGCGUACUGGUGAUACAGCUCAAACGUUUCAGCAUUGACAGCAGCUGGAACUUAAGGAAGCUGGAAAACAGAACGCAAAUCCCCCAGGAGCUUGCCCUAAAUCUGCACUGUGUGCAGAAUAUCGAGGCUCCAUGUGGGGUGGACAGAACAGCAGGUGACAGCAUUGGACCUCUAGACGGCCUUAGCAAGGAGGAGCAGAUAAAGCUGGCCACUGAGCUCAGCUUGAAGGGCUCCGCCCCUCCUCCAGGUAACGAUAAGUCUUUCAGUUCCAGCAUGCUUAUGAAAUACUGGUGAAAUGCAGCAACCAGUGAAACAAAUAGCACAGCCAAUGAGCAUCAAGCAGGUCAUGUUCAGAACAUGACAGGACAGCUGACUAGUGGAAAAGUGAAAAGUAAGUCAAAGUGAAGAGACGAGUCCUGAUUAUGUUUUGUGCUUUACCCUGAAGCAGUACAAGAUCAGGGCCGUAUGGGACAGGGAGAGAAAACAGGAGCUCAGGUGAGGAGAUGGAG